rnacentral:misc_RNA from 1 species
GUAGGUGAACCUGCGGAAGGAUCAUUACUGCUACCUCUGCCACCCCCCUAACCCGGGAUGCGUAGACACGCCACCCUUGUAUAAUAUAUAUUGUUGCUUUGGCGGGCCGCCUUCGGGCACCGGCUUCGGCUGGAUCGUGCCUGCCAGAGGACCACAACUCUUGUUUUUAGUGAUGUCUGAGUACUAUAUAAUAGUUAAAACUUUCAACAACGGAUCUCUUGGUUCUG